rnacentral:rRNA from 1 species
AAGAGAGAGUUCAAGAGUACGUGAAACCGUUCAGGGGUAAACCUGAGAAACCCGAAAGGUCGAAAGGGGAGAUUCAACGCGAAUCGGAGUUCGCGAGCGGCGCGUGCCGACGACGGGCGGCCCCGUUUCACGGUGGCUAGCCCGCUCCGCGCGUCGACCGAUCGGACACCGAACGCGUGCACUUCUCCUCCUGUAGGACGUCACGACCCGUUGGGCGCCGGCCUAAGGACCGCGGUGGAGACCGGACUCGCCCCCGGGCGAGUCCGGACCCGCGGCCACCCGGCCGGCUCGACCGACGGUACAACUAAGGCGCGGGGCCGCGAUUCGUUCGCGUCCGGCACGUCGCAAGCGCGAACGGUUAAAGCGGGCCGUCCGGGCCUCGUACCGGAUCCCGA